rnacentral:rRNA from 1 species
CCUACGGGAGGCAGCAGUGAGGAAUAUUGGUCAAUGGGCGAGAGCCUGAACCAGCCAAGUCGCGUGAGGGAGUACUGCCCUAUGGGUUGUAAACCUCUUUUGUCGGGGAGCAAAAGCCGGACGUGUCCGGCUGUGAGAGUACCCGAAGAAAAAGCAUCGGCUAACUACGUGCCAGCAGCAGCGGUAAUACGGGGGAUGCGCGCGUUAUCCGGAUUUGUUGGGUUUAAAGGGUGAGCAGGCGGAUUUUUAAGUCAGCGGUCAAAUCGUGGGGCUCAACCCCAUCCAGCCGUUGAACAUGGGGAUCUAGAGUGUGCGAGAGGUAUGCGGAAUGCGUGGUGUAGCGGUGAAAUGCAUAGAUAUCACGCAGAACCCCGAUUGCGAAGGCAGCAUACCGGUGCACAACUGACGCUCAGGCACGAAAGCGUGGGUAUCGAACAGGAUUAGAUACCCCAGUAGUC